GACGAACGCUGGCGGCGUGCCUAAUACAUGCCAGUCGAGCGAAGCGGGGACGGGUGAGUAAAACGUGGAUAGCCUCCUAUAAGACGGGGAUAACUUCGGGAAACCGGAGCUAACCCGGAAACUUAUCGAUGGAUCCGAGCUGCAUUAGCUAGUUGGUAAGGUCACGUGUUACCAAGGCAACGAUGCAUAGCCGACCUGAGAGGGUGCUCGGCCACACUGUAACUGAGACACGGCCCAGACUCCUGCGGGAGGCAGCAGUAGGGAAUCUUCCGCAAUGGGCGCAAGCCUGACGUAGCAAUGCCGCGUGAGUGAAGAAGGUCUUCGGAUCGUAAAACUCUUUUAUUAGGGAAGCGUUACCUACUCAGGAAGCCACGGCUAACUACGUGCCAGCAGCCGCGGUAAUUC
rnacentral:rRNA from 1 species